AGGCCUAAAGUCGCACCACUGCCCCCAAGGAAAAUAAAGGAGUCCAGCAUCGGCUUGGCCCAGAUAUGGAAGGUCUUACCGGCUGCCAGCGCCGCUUCGACGGAACCAUAUUGCUGAUAGGUCGCGAUAUUUUCCAGUGCCCACGGCGUCAUAAUGCCGUUGUCCAGUGCGGUCAGCGCCAGCGCGCCAUGAAUACCGAAGAACCAGAGCAGUGGAACAAAGAUCACAUAGGCCCAGCCCACCACGCUACCCAACGAUGCCAGUGGGGUUGAGAUGGUAUCCAUAAUGAUCUGAUGGAAGUUGGUGCCCCAGGUAUUCAACGCCCAGGCAAUAAUCCCCAUCACGGAAAGAAUAAUAAAGCCGGGAAUUAAUGCCGAGAAGGAACGCGAUACUGAAGCAGGUACGCUGUCGGGCAGUUUAAUGACCCAAUUGCGGCGGACAAUAAAGGUAAACAUUUCUGCCACCACCAGGCCAAUAAUAAUCCCGGAGAUGAUAUUCGCCCCACCUAACCAGUUUGCACCAACCGCAUAGGCC
rnacentral:rRNA from 1 species